rnacentral:lncRNA from 1 species
GACACCCCAAAGGCCCUACAGAGGACGGUUUUCGAUGUCGUUGCCAAAGAUCGAGUGGUUGUGAAUGAGGAAAGUGAUAAGAAGUCACCUGUGGACAGUAAGAAAGAUGUGAUAACCAAAGACUCAGACCUCAAAAGGAAGGAACCUUUAAGUGAGGUUAAAAAGGAUUACGGGACGUUGGAUUCUAUUAUCCGACAAAAUGCUCAACAAAUCAAACAGUCUUGCUCAAUUAAUAAGAAUAUAACAAAUAAUAACACUAACGUUAUUACCAAUAAUUUCAUUCCAAAAACAUCGAAUUAUGACACAUUGCCUUUGAAUAACAAAAACGAAGCUCAGUUGAGAAGUGAUAAUAAUUCGAUAAGCCAAAACGCAACAAGAAAUAACUUAAACCUACACAGGACAAAUAGCUUCGAAAAGAGCAACGAGGCCAUCAUCAAAACUGACAGGGAUUUGAAGAACGAUUUUUCUGAGGUGAACAGAAUCUUGAACAAAGUCGAUAAGGUUGUGAAAAACGGAGAGAAAGCUACAAGACUGACAGAAAAAGACUCGCAGGACGAAGAAAUCGACAGCGACGAUGACGCGGAUAAGAGCGCCACCGCGGAUAUUUGGGUCCGGACAAUCGAGUCACCAGUGCGGAAAUCGGUGAAGGAUCUAGCGUUGGCCAUCGAGUCCGUCGAGACCAAGACCAUCGAGGAGAAGUUGGACGUGGAGAAGAAGAAAUCCAAGCACAAAAAGGAGGAUGACGACCAGCCGGACUUCAAUGACAAACCCUACGGAGUGACGCAAUCCCAAAGCUCGAACCAGCUGUCGCUCCCACCCAACCAGCGGCAGAACCAGCGUCUGGUCGGUUGCGAGAGCCUCCCUUGCAGCAGGCCCGGAUCACGCACAGCAUCCAGAUCCUCAUCCCCCGCCUUCUUCGUCAACGACAAAACCGCCAGGGACAAGAAGAUCAGCGCGGCGGAAGCCCUCGGGGUCGUCGCCAAACCAUGUCCCCGCAUCAUCCCCUCGAGCAACACAGCCUUCGCCAAGGCUAACUUCGAGUUCCGGCGUCAAUCCCUCGGCAACCUCUCGGACUCGAAGUUCGGGCGGAUCUCCAGCGGGUGGUCGUCGCACGUGCCGUCCUCGGCGUCGACGGACGUGGAGUCGUCCUACGGCUCGGACGUCUUCGACAACCGCCGGAAACGCCUGUCCAAGCGCUGCUCGAGCGUCGAUAGCCGGACUCUCUCGCGGUGCUACCCGGACAAACACGCCGGGCACUUCGGCUCCGACAACCGGGGAUUCCACACCCUCUCCAAGAUCUCCCUGCGGAACGGGACCGGGCACCCCGACUGCAAGUACUUCCCCAAGUCGACGGUAGUGCCCUCCGGCUACUACUCCCUGGACACGCCGCCUCCUCCGCCUCCGCCGGAGCACCAUCGACGGUCCUCCAGCCACGGCUCCAAGUCGGAAAACGGCCCGAGGCCGCGGUCCACGUGCAACUGCGGCCAUCACCUCGCCUCGCUGUGCGUCCCGGUUGGGAAACGCACCUACUCGGUGGAGGAGCUCCCUUCGUCUUUGAGCCGUCACGGAGGUGUGCCCCCGCCCCCGUCUACCGCCCCCCACCCCCACCCGCCUCCGGCCCUCGUCGAUCUCAAUCGCUCCAACAGGUCCUCCUUCGGCAAGUCCCAGCAGCGGGUCAAGUUCGCGCUGGACGAAACGGAUUUGGAGAAGAUGGGGUCGUACACGAGUAAGUGCGUCGUCGGGUCCGAGCCCGAGGGGAUCAUGAAGAGGUCCUCGCGGAAAAUGACGCAGUUCGAUGACCUGUCCAACAACCACGGUGACCCCAACGGGAUUCUGAAUCUGCCGCCGCCUCCGCCGCCGCCGUAUCACUCCGUUGGGACUCUGACGCAGGGUGGAAAGUUACCAUCGUCUACCAACUCCAUUUUGAAGCAGCCAAAACCCAGAGUAAGUCAUUUUGAUAUCAGUUUUUUAACUUUCUGUUUAAAAUUUAAGGAGCUGAUUCGAGGAAAUCAACUGAAUAUCAGGAGGCCCUGUCUCGAAUCUAUAAAUCGCUGACAGUGUUUAAGAAAAUCACCCCAAACAUAGACCUCAUUCUUAUCGAGGGCUUAAAUUAAAUAUGAACUUGAGGUUAAGACAUAACUUUACGACUGAAAAGAAAAUAAUCAGGCGUGUCCUACAUACGUAGAUCCAAUAAAAAUAGCUCCGUGUGAAAGUCGCAGUCUACUUUUCAGUCUGAAUGUAAGUCACUACUUGAUAUAAAGUUUUAAUAAAACUAUAAGGACGCCGACUAAAUCCAUAAUUCAGGCUGCGUGUAAUUGAGCUUUGAGUUAAAUUUAAGUAGCACAGAAUUUUUUUGUGUUGAUGUCUUUUUAGAGCGCAUUACCACUAUAACCUUUUUUUUAAAAGUGUGCCUAUCGUAAAAAAGGAAAUAACGAGUAAAAUUGUAUCUGCCUAGAACUCUGUAAUUUCCUAAUGGAGCGAUCAAUCACACCCCGAAAGAAUGUAUUAUAUGCAAUAAGCAAUAAUUGUGUAAGAAAAAAAAAAAAAACCCGUGGUGUGUCGCUUUUAAAGUUUGAAAUCACCUCCUCACUUUCAAUUAAUAGUCGUUUUUCUCCUCUUUUCCUCUCAAUUUUUUCAUUCGAUAUCCCUAAAUAGUUUUACGAUUACAGAGUUAUGGUAGAGCGCAGAUUUAUUAAAGAAAGUAGAUCAUCAAGCAGAAUCGUUCUAUUCGUAAUAUUAUGUGAUCCUUUUUGCACCGAGAUUCUGUUUCAAGAUAGAAAAGAUAAAAAAAAGAAGAAAAAAAAGAGGAGAAAAAGAGGAGAAAAAGAGGAGAGGGAAGACGUAAAGAGAUUUCUAAAGUUGGCAACUAAAAAUUUCGAGGCGCAAACUUUAGUUAUUUCUUCAGUUUCAUCUCUCAUUACACCAUAGGAAGUGAACAUGCAUGCAAUGCAACUGUAUGAACUCAUGGGAAUGUUUUUUGCCUACUUGAUCAAAUUGAAGGCGCACUGAAAGAAUUCAAUGUCAUUUGCCCAGUAUUUUCUCGCAAAUAUUAUGUAUUUUAAGUUUUCACUUGCGUAAGUUAUAAUAUUGCUUUCUGCACUGCGAAUAAUUGUUUUAAGUUGUUUGAUACCGAAUCUCAUGAAUUAUGGUACAAGGAGGAGGAAAAAAAUGUUUUACAAAAAUUAACUAGCUGUUGCGAACAUUUAGAUGACAUGUGUCAAAUGUGAUACAAUGAAGAUUGCUGCAUGCUGCAUACAACCAGACUUAAAAAGACUUCCUUUAAAAUGAUUUUCAAAAUACAAUGGAAAGAAUUAAAAAUUGAUGAAGAAUAAAAAAAACAAGGUUUUCCUCUUACCGUAUGGACUGAGUUCCUUUUCCAUGUUAUUUUAGGAACCAACCAUAUUAUUGCUAGCAAAGAUAGAUUUUUAUUUUACAAAUUUGAAUUGUUAUCGUAAAGUUUUUACCCAUUCUCCUUUAAAUUUAAAUUACCUAAAAGACGUAACCUGAAUCGAAACGACAAAGAUAAUGUCCAUGUAAACUAUGUACGCCGAUUUGCAA